rnacentral:rRNA from 1 species
GAGAUUGCCUCUUGUCUCGUGGGCUCGGAGAUGUGUAUAAGAGACAGGUAUAUGCACUGACGCCUGCCCGGUGCCGGAAGGUUAAGAGGAUCCGUCAGCCCUCGGGCGAAGCGGUGAAUUCAAGCCCCGGUAAACGGCGGUGGUAACUAUAACCAUCCUAAGGUAGCGAAAUUCCUUGUCGGGUAAGUUCCGACCUGCACGAAUGGCGUAACGACUUCCCCACUGUCUCGACCAGGAGCUCGGCGAAAUUGCAGUACGAGUAAAGAUGCUCGUUAAGCGCAGAAGGACGAAAAGACCCCGGGACCUUUACUAUACCUUGGUAUUGGCAUUCGGUGUGGAUUGUGUAGCAUAGGCGGGAGGCUACGAGUCAUGGGCGCCAGCCCGUGAGGAGCCGUCGUUGAAAUACCGCUCUGUUCGCAUUGGAUGUCUAACCUCGAGCAGUCAUCCUGCUCAGGGACAGUGCCUGGCGGGUAGUUUAACUGGGGCGGUUGCCUCCCAAAGAGUAACGGAGGCGCUCAAAGGUUCCCUCAGCCCGGUUGGCAAUCGGGUGGCGAGUGUAAGCGCACAAGGGAGCUUGACUGCGAGACUGACGGGUCGAGCAGGGACGAAAGUCGGAGCUAGUGAUCCGGUGCCGGCGUACGGACGCGGCAUCGCUCAACGGAUAAAAGGUACCCCGGGGAUAACAGGCUGAUCAUUCCCAAGAGUCCAUAUCGACGGGAUGGUUUGGCACCUCGAUGUCGGCUCGUCGCAUCCUGGGGCUGGAGCAGGUCCCAAGGGUUCGGCUGUUCGCCGAUUAAAGCGGCACGCGAGCUGGGUUCAGAACGUCGUGAGACAGUUUGGUCUCUAUCCUCUGCGCUCGUUGGAAUCCUGAGGAGGCCUGCCCAUAGUACGAGAGGACCUGGGUGGACGAACCUCUGGCUGUCUCUUAUACACAUCUCCGAGCCCACGAGACAAGAG